UGGUGGCUCUAUGAUCCAUGAUAGGCACGCGCACCAAACGUCAUGGAGUGCAUGAACGGCGUCGGACUCUGGCACCUGUCCGUCCGCAUCACGCAGCGCCCGUCUUAUUCCCGGAUGGGAAGCCCAAGACGCGCAGCCGACCUCAUUGUCCGGCAAGCAUGCAGCAUGUCCAACGGACCGACCGCUGGAGCCGUACUGUAGCUUACGCUGCCGUAGAAGACGAGUGCCGGCCGAUUGAUUCAUCAGUGGC